rnacentral:rRNA from 1 species
UACGGGAGGCAGCAGUGGGGAAUUUUGGACAAUGGGGGAAACCCUGAUCCAGCAAUGCCGCGUGUGCGAAGAAGGCCUUCGGGUUGUAAAGCACUUUUGUCAGGGAAGAGAUCCUUUGGGCUAAUACCCUAGGGGGGAUGACGGUACCUGAAGAAUAAGCACCGGCUAACUACGUGCCAGCAGCCGCGGUAAU